rnacentral:lncRNA from 1 species
AAUUCAUAAUGGAAAUUAUAUUAUAAAUAUCAAAUGCGGAAGCGAAAACAAAAUUGAUUAACAUCCCUUACACUAAAACAAAAAACGUGCUCACAAAAUAUAAAAGAUUAAACUACCUAAAGGGGAAACUUGAAAGUAAAAACUACGAAUGUGACUAUGGAGUCCUUAGGCGUCCCCUUCGUCGUCCUCCUGCGGAACCGGCUCGGGAACGAUGUCCUCUUGAUCUGAAAUGAUUAAAUAAGAAAUGAGCUACACUAGCCCAGUAAAGACACCACGAUAUCUCACCGUCACGGAGGUAAAGGUGGG